UGGGCUGUGGUGCAAUUGGUAGCACGUCUGACUCUGGAUCAGAAGGUUCCAGGUUCGAGUCCUGGCAGCCCAG
rnacentral:tRNA from 1 species